UUGAACGCUGGCGGCAGGCCUAACACAUGCAAGUCGAGCGCGAAAGUUCUUCGGAAUGAGUAAAGCGGCGGACGGGUGAGUAACGCGUGGGAAUCUGCCUAGUAGUGGGGGACAACAGCCGGAAACGGCUGCUAAUACCGCAUACGCCCUACGGGGGAAAGGUGGGGAUCUUCGGACCUCUCGCUAUUAGAUGGGCCCGCGUCGGAUUAGCUAGUUGGGCGGGUAAGGGCCUACCAAGGCUAGGAUCCGUAACUGGUAUGAGAGGAUGAUCAGUCACAAGGGAACUGAGAAACGGUCGAGACUCCGACGGGUGGCAGCAGUGGGGAAUAUUGGACAAUGGGGGCAACCCUGAUCCAGCCAUGCCGCGUGUGUGAAGAAGGCCUUAGGGUUGUAAAGCACUUUCAGUGGGGAGAAAGGUUUGUCACCUAAUACGUGAUGAAAUUGAUGUUACCCACAGAAGAAGCACCGGCUAACUCCGUGCCAGCCGCCGCCGUAA
rnacentral:rRNA from 1 species